CCCUAAUUCUAACACAAAACACACUCACCCUUUUCCCCAAAAACCUAGCCGUCACACCCCAACCCCCUUCCUCACUCUCUCGGCACAACACCCACACACACGGUUAGCAUACACACACACACACCCCCAUAUGAACGAAGAAGAGAUGAGAGGAGGGAGCUCUCCAUGUUGCCGCCAUCCAACUUGUCGCCACUGCCGCUGCCAAGUCGCCGUCGCAUCGCCAUUGGAGUAGAGAGAGAGAGAGAGAACGAAUGCAAAGGGGGAAGAGAAAGCCAGGCGCAACAAAGAAUAUGAGAGGGACCGUCACGUGCCGUCACUGCUGUCCAAGACAUUGCCAUCGUCAUUGGUGUGUUCGGAGCUCACUGUUGCUGCUGCCAGGCCUCGCGUCGCCACUGGUUUGUAUUGGAACCAAGUCAGAGCAAAACCGCAAAGAGAGAGAGUUCGCGAAUAAGAAAGAGGGUGACGCAGAGAGAAAGGAUCGCAGGCCUGGAACCGCCAUGCCGUCGAUAGAGCCGUUGCACUGUUACCGCAGUUGAGGUUGCCACCGUCUCUGGUGGGAUUCCGCCACGGGGAGAAGCUUGAAUAGGAGAGAGGGAGGCGCGACCAGAUGUGAACGAAGGGAGAAGGCAGGCUCAUCGAAGAAGGAAGAGGCCUCGUGGCCGUGCCUGGCUGCUGGGAAAGUCGAUGUGGCCGCCAGAACUACCACAGGGCCUGCCACUUCUUGGUUCGGUCGUUACUCCUUGGAACGAGUUGCUGUGGUUGUUGCGAAAGUGAUUUGGAACUGAGGUUACGGCUGCUGCCAUCGCGAGCCAAGAGAAAAUGGAGUUUUAUUGCGUAAUUAAGUCACAAACGAGGAUGGACGAAGAGUUAAGAAGUUUCUUUCGAGCAUUGGAUUGUACUAUAUAUUAUUGUAUAUACAGUUAUAGUUUUUUCUUUCCUU